CCCCUCCCAGGAUCACAUCUAGAGAGUUUCCAGUACUCUACUAGUGAUGGCCACGGGAAGGAGAGUCAAUCAGAAGCAUACCCAUUCCAUUCCUAGCUUGGUCAGUGGCUAGCGAGUGGAAGGCAAUCAAGU